rnacentral:miRNA from 6 species
ACGGGUAUUCUUGGGUGGAUAAUA